rnacentral:lncRNA from 1 species
CAUUAGGACCUCUAGCUGUAACAGACAUUUACACAUUAGGACCUCUGUAACAGACAUUUUACAUCUUAAGACCUCUGUUGCAGACACUACACACAUAUCAGCACGCUAGUAACAGACACUUAAUGUACUAGGGCACUAGUGACACUUAAUACCAGGAUCCUAAUUAUAUGAGCUUGUUGAUGUAUUGGGAUCCUCAAAAAGAGACACUUUUAGCACUUUGAUGUUUAGUAACAGACACUAGAUGCAUUAUUAUCCCAAAUAUAAUAGACAGUUGACACAGUGUGAUCCUUAGUAACACACACUGAAAACAUUCGAAUCCGUAUAACAGACACUUGACACAGUAGGACCCUUAGUAACAGACACUUGACACAGUAGGGACCAUAGUAACAGACACUUGACACAGUAGGUCCCUUAGUAACAGACACUUGACACACUAGGGACCAUAGUAACAGACACUUGACACAGUAGGACCCUUAGUAACAGACACUUGACACAGUAGGACCCAUAGUAACAGACACUUGACACAGUAGGACCCUUAGUAACAGACACUUGACACAGUAGGACCCUUAGUAACAGACACUUGACACAGUAGGGGCCAUAGUAACAGACACUUGACACAGUAGGGACCAUAGUAACAGACACUUGACACAGUAGGGACCAUAGUAACAGACACUUGACACAGUAGGGACCCUUAGUAACAGACACUUGACACAGUAGGAACCAUAGUAACAGACACUUGACACAGUAGGACCCUUAGUAACAGACACUUGACACAUUAGGGACCAUAGUAAAAGACAGUUGACUCACUAGGGACCAUAGUAGCAGACACUUGACACAGUAGGACCCUUAGUAACAGACACUUGACACACUAGGGACCAUAGUAAAAGACAGUUGACACAGUAGGGACCAUAGUAACAGACACUUGACACAGUAGGACCCUUAGUAACAGACACUUGACACACUAGGGACCAUAGUAACAGACACUUGACACAGUAGGACCCUUAGUAACACGUUGGACACAUCGAAACAUUAGUGAGAAACCCAUAAGGAUUCCCAUUAACAAACAAUAAAACACUGAUCAAUUUCAACGCAUCAAUGAUGAUUCUGAAACAGAUAUGUGAUGCACUUUUUACUUUUCUGUAAAGACAAACUCACGUACUGUAGCACGUAAAUUACUGUAUAUAUUUGCUGAUAGUACAGGGUCCUGGGAAUAUGACAGCAUAAUGUAAUUGUGCUAUGUUUAUCUCAAACAGACACUAAUGUAUAACAUAUGAAUGUUUAGUCUGGACAGUUAAGUAAUUGUUGAGAUGACAGGUAACUCCUACAGAAUAAUGUAUGGUUGUGAGUUUGGGCUGUAAGGGUGAAGUGGAGCACAGCCUUUACAUACUUAAUCAAUUCUGAUCAAAUAUCAUACCGGUAACUGUUCAGGCCAUCUAAACACCUUUUCUGAUGCUCUUUUCAGGAUACUGAUCAACUAUAAAUAACAACUACUGUAUAGAAUAUGUGUUUGUGAUUUGAAACAAGGAAUUAUGUACAAAGUUACAUUGUGUACAUUGACCUUUAUUAAGUGAACGAAUAUUUAUUGAUGCUGUUCAUAAGUAUACUCUUUCCAUUUUAAAUUUCAUUUUGAAGAAAUAUUUCAAUAGUUUCUGUGUUAUUUUAAUGUUAUGACUGAUUCAGACUCAAAUGCGGUUAAUGACAUUGUGAUAUUUAGUAAUAUUCGAUGUAAUGCAGAUUAUAUUUUUUCAUGCAUGUACUCUCUAGAUAGACCAGAAUUUUGGAUGCUUUGUUCUCAUUUUAAUUAAUCUGUAUUACAUAUUUGUGCCAUUUCUUUCCACUGAUCUGUUAGCUAUCACAGACUUGUCAGGUUUAAGCAGGAGCCUACUGUGAAAUGAUUACCUGGUAUUAAAUGUCAUAUUUGUUUUAAAUGGGUGGUGGGAGUCAUUUUCUGUUGCAUUCUUGUUGAAGAGUGUUCAACAUCUGUGUGCACCAACAGUCCAUGGAUGUUACUCACAUGAUGAAUAUCUGUUAUGUUUAGAUAGUGUAUUACAGGAAACAUGGAACAAACAUUGGGAGUGUCUUCAUCUGAAGCACUUUGGGACACUGACUUGUCAGUUAAGAUGUAUGGACUGGCUAGAAUGAAAGUCAAACAAUUGACUUCUCACAGCCAAAUUGUAAACUUAAACAAUGAAUUUAUUCAUCCCUUUUAUGUCAACUUUCCCUUAAAAAAUCAACAAGGUCUGUUGAGUGGCAUUACAACUGGAAAGCUGAAGCAUGAAGGUUGUACCAUAUUAUCAACAGCCAACAGCAAAACCAUCACUGGUACCAGUGAGUUGACCAUUUCUGAUCAGCUGACAAUUCCUGUGAGGUUGUAAAUCAAAUCUGUAAGUCUGUUUUGGCUCCUGACUUAAUCAGUUCAUCCCAGGUUCUGUGAACAAAACUUUCCUCCAUCAAGUGUAUAUUACCUGUAAAGGUAUUCUUGGUACAUAGUGGCAUUAGUAUCAUGGAAGCACUCCUAUAAUCACCUUACAGACAUUGUCAUUGAGACAAGUUUGAAAACAUCCUAUUAUCUAUCAGUCAGUUUGUAACAGUAGGAAAUAAUAAAUUCAAAUGUUUGUCAAAUUUGAAUUAAUCACAACAGUGGGACACGUGUUUCUAGUUGUAUUGUUAACUAGUCAGAUAUGCUAAAUAAUUUGAAAUAUGAUAUACAGGUGUGAGCAUAAUUUGAUCUAUCCACAUAUUUUGUUGAAUAUGAAAUAUUUUACAUAGAUUAAUGGAAGAUGUAGCUAAAUAUUCAAGGUGUAAGUUUAUGUUAAUCUAUUACCACGGACGCUGACAACAACGGAGCAAGUAGAUGACACCUCUAACUUGCUUGUAGCUUUCUGACACCCUCCUUUUCAUUUGUGUCGCAAUGGUUUUCAAACCGUAAUCAACACUGGCACACUUCUUAGUUGAUGUGAUGCAUUAAGUUGCAGAACGGAGGGCAAGGUGGCUAUUCUGUGCUUUUGUCCUGUCGUACAUAUAUAUAGUUAUAGCUUAUACUGGCAUGAUGUUAACACAGUAAUUACUCAAAAUUGAUAUUUGUGAUUUAUGUCAAAUUUAAGAAUGUUACACUACUUAUUUGUUGAUUUUAUUUAUUUUGUUGUGUUAAUUGUCCUGUGAUGCUCUAACCAAAUAAACUAUUCUUAUAUCUCAA